GAUGAACGCUGGCGGCGUGCCUAACACAUGCAAGUCGAACGGAGAUGCGAUGUGAGCGUGAAGUGCUUGCACAGAACAAUCUUUUCGUAUCUUAGUGGCGGACGGGUGAGUAACGCGUGGGUAACCUGCCUUAUACCGGGGGAUAACACUUAGAAAUAGGUGCUAAUACCGCAUAAGCGCACGGUGUCGCAUGACACAGUGUGAAAAACUCCGGUGGUAUAAGAUGGACCCGCGUCUGAUUAGCCAGUUGGCAGGGUAACGGCCUACCAAAGCGACGAUCAGUAGCCGGCCUGAGAGGGUGGACGGCCACAUUGGGACUGAGACACGGCCCCAAACUCCUACGGGAGGCAGCAGUGGGGAAUAUUGCACAAUGGGGGAAACCCUGAUGCAGCGAGGCCGCGUGAGUGAAGAAGUAUUUCGGUAUUGUAAAGCUCUGUCUUCGGGGACGAACAGAUGACGGUACCCGAGGAGGAAGCCACGGCU
rnacentral:rRNA from 1 species